rnacentral:rRNA from 1 species
UACAGAGGCCUCAAGCGUUGUUCGGAAUCACUGGGCGUAAAGCGGGUGUAGGUUGCAUUGUAAGUCAGAUGUGAAAGCCCUGGGCUUAACCCGGGAAGUGCGUCUGAUACUGCAGUGCUCGAGUGCAAGAGAGGUAAGGGGAAUUCCUAGUGUAGGGGUGAAAUCCGUAGAUAUUAGGAGGAAUACCGAUGGCGAAGGCACCUUACUGGCUUGUAACUGACACUGAGAUCCGAAAGCGUGGGUAGCAAAC